rnacentral:lncRNA from 1 species
AGUUCCCUGGGUGUAGCCUAGCGAUGGAGGCCCAUAGUCACUCAGCACCUGGCGUUAUUGGGAGGAGGUCGCCUUCCUAGUAGACCCCCUGGUUCUUCUGGAACUCAUGACACAGAUGAGGAUGCCUCUACCUCUCCAGUGCUUGGAUUAAAGGGGCAUACAUCUCAUAGUUGGUGCAGGAAAUCCACUUUUGCACACCAUAACCUGUAUCCUAUUGCCGCAGACCUUCUGGGUCCCUGUGUCUGCGUGGAACGGGGUCUCUCGACGCGGGUGGGCAAAGCGUGGAUGAAUGACAGACAGACACACACACAGGAGAGUUUGUGUGGAAUCUGAAUGUAAUUUUUCAAAUCGAACAUCAGACUUUUUAUGCAGAAGACAACAAGGUACAAAUAAGGCAGAUCUGUGGUUUGCUGGUCAGCAGCUUCAGCCUGUUGUUUGCCCUUUGCUCCCCUCUUCCCUUUUAUCUGCACUUUUUCGUUUGAUAUUUAUCCUUUCCCGUGGCUUUUUUUGGCUUGGGAGGGGCGGGCUUGACCGAUAGCCUCGCGGAGCGGCGCUUGGGUUCCGCCUCCAUCCGUGUUAACCUUCCUCUUGGGCAUCCUGGCGGCGCGAAGUGGGAGAGGCGUGUGUCACCGGAUCUGUCCCGAGCUGCACCACCAAGCCCUCACCACACUAACUGCUGCGACCCGUCGCAGGGGCGGUGGGAGAACCGGAUCGUCUUAGCCUCUUGAACAGCUGGGACUACAGUGCUGAUCAGGGUGCCAGGCUGAACCAAAUGUUUAUUCUAUUUGAAGAACUCUUUGAUAGCCUGAGAGUCUUUGCUGUAGUCCUUAGAGUAUGCAUAUGACUGCAGCUGACUCUUAGAGGAACCAGAACACGUGAACAAACCACAAAGAUUUAUGAGGGAACUACAUUCAUGUGUAUGUAUGAGAGUAUGUUAUGUGCGCUGUGUGCAGGAGCCCAAAGAGAUCAGAUGUUAGAGCCUCAGAACUGGAGUUAUGGGCAAUUGUGAGCUGCUAUGUGGAUACUGGGAACCAAACCCUGGUCCUCUGCAAAAGCAGCAAGCGUAGUUAUCUCUCCAACCCCCCAGAUUCUGUUUUUCCCUCCUGGAACUUGAUCUUAAUGGUCUCCUAUACAAGGGGAAUCAAUCUCUCUCUCUCUCUCUCUCUCUCUCUUAAAAAAGUAUAUUGUAGCUGUUUUCUUUCUUUCUUUUUUCUUUUUUUUGAUUUAUGUAUUUAUUUUAUGCAUGAGUACACUGUAGUUGUCCUCAGACACACCAGAAGAGGGCACUGAGUAGCAUUACAGAUGGUUGUGAGCCACCAUGUGGUUGCUGGGAUUUGAACUUAGGACCUCUGGAAGAGCAGUCAUUGCUCUUGACCGCUAAGCCAUCUCUCCAGCCCAGGGAAUCUUUUGAUUGAACUAUGACAUCAGAACUCAAGUUUUCCUGCUCCUAUGCUGGGGAUGAUGCAGAUCAGUUGAUAGAGUGCUUGCCUUGCAUGCACAGGGUUCAAUCCUCGGCACCACGGAAAAACUGUGCAAAGCUUUUGGGGCCACUUCUAGAAACGUGGCAGGAAUUUGACCUUGGGCCAGGAUACGGAAGUAAGCUCAGGCAGGAAUUUGACUGUGGGCUAGAACAAAUAGACCUCAGGCAGGAAAUUGACUUUGGUCUAGGACUCUGAAGUAGGCAAAAGAUGAAUGCAGCUGAGGAAUGUGUUCUUUGUAUCUUGACGGUUCUUGUUAAGACCCUGAAUACAGUACUCAUGAGACCUUUCAUCUAUAUUUUGUUUGCUCCUUACCUACCCAGUCCAUGCCUUGUUUGUUCCUUAACUACUUUAUGACUUAAGACUGACCAUAUUCUUUGUAUAUACCUAGAAUGAUAUAAAAGCAGACUG